GAAAUGCGAUGAGUAAUGUGAAUUGCAGAAUUCGGUGAAUCAUGGAAUCUUUGAACGCACAUUGGGCCCGCCAGUAUUCUGGCGGGCAUGCCUGUUCGAGCGUCAUUUCAACCAUCAAGCUUUAGGAUUGUGUUGGAGCCCUGCGGCUGUCUGCAGGCCCCUAAAUACAGUGGCGGGCGCGCUAUCACACCGAGUGCAUUAGUUUUCUUUCUCGCUCAGGGCGUGCAGUGGGUGCUAGCCGUGAAACCCCUUUUUCACAAGGUUGACCUCGGAUCAGGUAGGAAUACCCGCUGAACUUAA
rnacentral:misc_RNA from 1 species